UUGAGGAUUCAGACACUACUUCAAGUAAAUUAGGAAGUUUGAAAUCUUUACCGAAACAAUGUGAUGAAUUUGGCCUUGUGCAGCAUUGUAUUGCGCAUUGCCUUAUAUUGAUUUUAUGCCAGACGUAAUAUUCUGGUUUCUGGUGGUUACAGCAUUGAUAGCAAGAAUGUAAUAUUGGUAUGAAGAGCUGUGAGAAGUAAGAGAGUUGAGGAGCAGGUAUAGGGGAAUAAAUUGGGGAGCAAGUAUAGGGAAACCAGAGUUUAUUGGAUAUGGGAAAAGUAGAAAUCGGUCUGUGGAGCAGAGGUUAGGCUAACAAGCAGCUGUAAAAUACUUAGCAUCAUUGACCACUUAAAUAAUGUCUGUGAAGUUUUCUACUUUAAUUACCAAUUAGAACAAAGGGAGUAAUUUUUGCAUAUUAGAGCCAUUGUGUUGGGCUGCCUGCACACUUGGGCAUGCAUCUCUGUUUGACUUUAUUUUCACAUAACAUCUGGAAGAUUUUCUGUGCCACUAAAUUAAAAAAAGAAAAGAAAAAGAAAAAAGGAAAAAACCCUUAAUGCAAAAAAAAAACAAAAAAAAAACCACCCUAUUUUAGUUUUAAAAAUGACAGUCUGCAUCCUGCAGUGUGUGUCUGCAGCAGUGGGUGGAUUCUUUGGCAAAUUUAAUAGCCACAGAAUCACACAGAGCCCUGACUAUUACCAAAUGGUGUGUGAUAAACAAACACAGAAACUUAUUUUACUAAAAUAUUCUCUUCAUUUAGUACUUAAAUGCACUAGAAGUGGCCUUUUGAAAAGCCUUCGGUCAUGGAGCAACAAUUGCUGUUGGAGUCUCUGGGCUGCUUCAUUGUUUAUUUAACUUGACAGCAAGCUAGCUACAGUUUCACAAUUUAGAUCAUUUAUUUUUAUGGUCAAAAUGUUUGUACAGUAGCAAAACCGUUUAGUGUAUCUCUACAACGGAAGAGUGCCUCAUUUUGCAGCUGCUCUGCCUUUCUUUAGUUGAGGCUUCAUGCAGAGUGGGUGCUUCAGAAACUUGGCAAACUGUUAGAUCAGCCAUGUGCUAGCCAGCAGUGCUUUCCCUGAUGUGUGAGUAUGGCGUGCCCACCACAAGAAGGCCUUGGGAAGCUCGUUCCAGGAUCACUCACUAGUAUAUCAGGGCAGUAGCAUGGAGUUGAACUCAGGAGCUUUUCAGGAGGACCCAGAAUCUGACAGUGGACAUCUAGAACAGAGGACACCUUGGUGUGAACACCACCUGUACCAGCAGCUAAUGAUGGUGCCUCAUGCUGUUCACAAGAAGAAAGUGAGGUUUGGUGCCAUGAAUCCACCCACUGAGAAGGUUGGACAGUCUUCAUCUGGCACAAAAAGAGUGGCAGGAUUCCUUGUUUCUCCUGAUCUCUGCUCAUGUAAGUACAGAAAUUUGAAAUCAAGCCAUGCACACUGUUGCCAGUUGUUUUAAGGCCACAGCAUUUACACCUAUAAAUGAGAACCUUUAAAAGAAUCAUUAUAAUUAUAGACACCAGCCUUGUUACUUAAUUACAUCCUGGUGUAGCCUCUGCAACUCAAAAAGUUUACAGGCAGUUUAAGAACUGAGAAGUUAAAUGUAUUUUAAAAUGUGUACACUGUGGUGCUUCUGAAUAAUUCUUUGCUACUACUCAGUGCCAGCUCAGAAUUUCACACCCUUGAACAGAUUGACUGGUUUGGCUUGUGUAAUAGGUAGCCUGCUAUCCUGGACUACUUGGUGAGUGGGUGGAGAUGGGUGCUUUUGGAAAUGCCAAUUGAUAGCUAACCAUAACAAGUCAGAGUUAUGUGUGAGUUGAGAAGGUAGAUCUAUCUUAAGCAAAAUGGUUCUACUGAGAUGCCUAGGAGCAACCAUAAAACUAGCAAGAAUGCUUUGCAAAUCAGCCAAGAGCAGUUACUGCAGACAUUGGGAAGGUUUCUGGUAGGGGUUCUGGGGAGCAGCUUUAGGGGUGCUCAUGUUUGCCACCUAAAGGUUACCCAGCCCUUUAUGAUGCAGUGUUGGCAGUGCAGUUCUCACAGGGGAUUGUUCUUCAGGACAAUACUGUGUUACCUUUGAUGCUUUUGCUUUCUGAACAGGAAGGAAAGGCACAUGGGAAGUCUAAAAAAAGGAGAAUUUUAAUUCAAAGACAUAAUGUAACACCACCCUCAAAAUACUCAUUCCCACUGUGUCAGCUACUGUAAAACAAAACAAAACAAAACAAAUCGAAACAAAACAAAACACCCAACUAUCUACUUGUGCAUGCUAUAACUCAUUAAAUAAAACUCGAUGGACUUUUGCCCUUAUAUUUUGGAGAAAACAUAGACCAGUAUCUUGUAUUAUUUAUUGUCUGACUUUUUUUUUUUUCUUUUUUUUUCCUUGCCUUCCAAAUUCCAACAAGACAAAGUGAAUGCAUUUUAAAUUGUUAUUUACAAUGUGAGCACUCUUAGCGUUGUUCUCUGUACUGAGCAACAUCUUUGUCUUGGAGACAUUACAAUUCUGAGCAGUUGAGAAGCCUGAAGACAAACUUCACUGUUAACUUAGCCAUCUGACUUCUGUCAGAGUCACCUGAGCCCAGUGGGUCUGGUCAGAAAUGUCUGAAAUCCUCCCAGGUCUUGGGAAGACAGGCUGCUUGAGAUCGUAUAGGGCACUGCUGGCAGCACAGAGCACAUUCCUAUGUUUACAGGCCCUACAUGAUAUUUCAGGCAGCUCUUGUUUCUGCGGCUAUGACCUGUUGCUGAGAGUCAAGCCACUAUGUAAACAAGAAGGACUUCAAACUCACAGUGUGUUGCUUUCCAGAGCAAGUGGUCAUUUGUUCCAGUUUCCCAUGACCACAUUACUGCUUGGGCUUAUUCAGAAAAAUACAUCAAUUUGCAGCAUUAAUGCUAGGCAAGGAAGAGGGGUUGGAAGUACAGACUGCAUUAGUACAUAUUAUUAAAUGUGCCAAGAGGAUAAUGUUACCUUAUCCCCAGUUUCAGCACUUUAAAAUGCUCUCAUUAUUAAAAUGAAAAAAAAAGAAAAAAAGUUCAAACAUUCAAACUUGUGUAGCCAAAAUCCAACUUAGGAAAUACAUUAUUUAACUAUUAGCAAGAUGAUCUGACUUUAACACUCCAUCCGUUAUACCAAUUUCUCCACUGAUGCCAUUCAAAAUCAUUUAUUUUUCAUUGCAUUUAUAACUAUAUCCAGAAAGAAACAGGAAAAGCAAUAUCAGAGGGUGAUUUACAUUGCACUGGAUUUCACUGCAACUUGGCAUUGUGAAUAAAUCUUUGGAAUACUCAAAAAGUACACAAGGAAAAAGCCAGGUUUUAAUUUGCUGAAGAAAAUAUUCUGACAUGGUGAUAAGUGAGGUAACCAAAAAUCAUGGCUUAAAAACAUUCUGAAUGACUGCUGUUUCAGCUGUCCCAAUCCACACGAUGGUAUUAAAACAGACCGGUGGUAAAGAACACUCACAACCUAUUUCUACCUGGGAAUAUUAACUCUCACUUGCUGACUGUUAUGUGGAAUUAAUGUGGACAUUUCCAGUUGUAUAUGCAUUACUGCAGCUCUUGUUUUCAGAAUCGGGGAUUCAUAUUUAGUAGCAUGCAGUGUAAAUCGGAGGCUAAUCUGACAUCUUUAAUUCACACGUAAAUCUGAGGCAGCUACUCUGAAGCUAGUGAGGUUUCCUCAGAUUUAUAUCUCCAUUGCUAAAAACAGAGCACAGUGGUCUAUUUUUAGAUAACCUGGAAUUGCCAUACGUUGAGAUGUGCUACCUACCCUGGUGUCUUCAUGAAAAUGCUCAAGCCUGUUUGAAAAUAUAAAUUAAUUUUAAUGCAGUUGGGAAACCUUCUGUGCAUGCAAAUAUGCCACAGCCUUCACUAGCCUGCCUGCUGCCGUGUAUAACUGCUGAGGGAUGACGGUCCUUCCUCUCUACAUUACUUUUCAGACAAACCCCGUUUAUGGCACAGAAAUUAUUUUUUUUCAGGUAACACUUACAGAGCAUCUAAAUAUUUAAUACAGCUUAUCGUUAAUGGGUAGAAUAUAAGUUGAUUUUAGUGAUUGUCUUUUCCCCUAGUAGCAUCAAAAGACAAUAGAAUUAUUCUUCACCCAGGACUUGAAAAACCAGGACCAUGGUGUGUUAACCGCAAAGCUGAUGGAAAUAUCCUUCCCCGUCAAUAUCCCAAGCACCCCUCCUGCCCUCCUGCUCUAAGAAGAAAGUGGAAAGCAAGGCUGGGGGCAGGGAGCACCCCUAUUCAUGAGGAAUCCCUACAGCCUCCAUUUGUCCAUCUGUCCAAGUGUGCUCAGACAGAGUCAGCAGUUGGGGCGGCCAAGCUCCCCAGGCCUAGCAAUUAAAUAUAAAAAAACUGUCUUUAUCCAAACAGGCCAUCUAUAUUUUGGAAAUUUCCAUCGCACUUCCUUCUGAAGUCCUACUUUUCUUAAAGUGCACAGCAGCAGUUAUGCUAGGGUAGCAGUGGCUAUUCUCCAAGCAUGUUGAAGAACCAGGACAGUCUAUUAGCUCAAUGUGAGUGAUCCACGUCACUAUCAAUUUGUUUCUUCUUUAUAACUGUGGAUUUUUUUAAUUUUUUUUUUAAAUUGUUAAAAUUUUCCACUGCCUGUCGGAGAUCAGCUGUUGUCAGUGAAAGUUUGACAUGGAUGACAGUGGCCGUGGGUGGCACAGACAGCAUUUGGUGUUACCCCCAUGUUACUUGUAAUCUGAGAGGGCUUUAGCCGCUAAGAUGCUGGUGCCUUUCAUUCGGGCUUUGGUCUGACAUUCCUGGCAUAGCAGGGGUGAGGCUGGUGGGGCUGGGGUGAGCAGAAAAGGAGCAGCAGAAAGGAAAAGAUUCAUGGAACCCAGUGGAAUGCUAUGAAAUCAGCAGCACCGCCAUCCCUGGAUUUUCAGAAAUCAUGAUCCAGAUCCUUAACAGUGAGAUCAGCUUCUGAAUAAAAAAGAAAGAAAGAAAAAGAUGUGUAUAGAGAAACCCUAUGACAUGUAAGUCAAAGCCAGACAUCAGCGUUUCAUUCUGUCCAGUCACCAUUUUUAUCAUUUGUCAUCUGUUUUUUUCACUUAGGAUUCACAAUUUUUUUUCCCAAUAGUUGUAAAGGUCUGAGUCUCAAAAAUACUGGAUUUAAUUGUCUGAGAAAAAGAAUGAGGAUUUUGUGGAAGCCACUAAAUAUCCCGUGACUGGUGAUAAAAUUGCAAGUGCUGGCAAUGCUGAUUAGAGAAGGAUUGUUAUGGUAUUAAAUCAGUAAACAUAAUUCAAUAAAUUGAGAAUCUUGUUUUCUUGGUUGAGUGUUGUCAUGAUUGAAAGGAAUUUUUUUUUCACUUUGUUGUGGAUCUGAGGAGCCAAAGUUCUGGUUAGAAACUUCUUAUAUUGUUCAAGCAUCAAAGAGAAGGAAGUCAUAAGCAUUAAAAUGUCUCUUAUAUUUUACAGAUGAAUAUAGUAGGCAGAAAAAGAUAAGUUGCAGUUCCUCCAGCCAAAUGAUAUCGAACUACUCUGCCUCAGAUUUGGUGUCCAUCUAAAACUGUAAUUUUGGAACAUUUUAUGCACAUCCUUAUCUUUGUAUCUUAGAAUAGUUUCAUUAAAGCCACGUUAGUGUUGAUAUGUUGAGGGACAAAAACUGAGAGUUUUGAGACCUUAAAUGAGGUAAUCAAGCACAGGAGGUCACGGAGCAAGGUCUGAUGUAAAAGUUGCUUUACAAGACAUAACCUUAAAACGUGAGGUUUUAAAGUAAGAUUUUCAAUAAUAAUUUUUUUUGUAUGCAACUUCUUUCAUCCAGAAAAAAGGAAAUCAAAUGGGAGGAAAGGAAAGAAAGGUGAGUAAAAUGUGCAUAUUUUGUUAACUCCUGUUAAGGCAAAGCUCAUCCUUACAGCUGUAUCCCAGCUUUGCACUCUUCAGGCAGUAGGCUUCCUUACUUUAAGUGUGUGUCCAGCUAAGAAGUCUCCAAGCAAGUAUGCUAAUAUCCAUUGUUCUCUGUUCUGAGAUGCCCACUGCCUGAAAUUCAAACCUUCCAAAUCUAGAUAAAAAAAAGGAAAAACACAGAUCCUGAACAAACACACUCUCCAUACCCACAGUGUCCUACAGCACUGGGAUACUGGCCUGUAUGCCAUCUUAAUACAACUUCCAGAAGCCUGGGAAGGAGGAUGGUGGGCUAAUUUUAGUUAAUUUAUUUCUCUGUGCAGUGGUCAUGCUUCUGGCACCUGAGCCUCUGCAUGGUCCCAGUUGUGCCUUCAUGCAUCUGCUGGUGACCUUAUCUGCAGCAGCAUGGAGCACCAAAUAUCUCACAGGAUGUGUAAGAUGAAUUGGACUCCCAGCCAUUACUGUUCUUUCUAAUAAUUUCCCAGCAUGUUGCUCAUGCAGCAGUGCUUCAGAUAAGUGUAGCAGCUCUUGCUGUUCUUUUUUUUUUUUUUUUUUUUACGGUCAGGUCUCCUAAACUCUGAUAGUUUUCUAGACCUGAAUCACAACUAUAGCUUGCUGCUGUGAAAAACAACACCUUCCUUUCCUCUAUUUCAUUUUUUUUUCUCCCCAUUUUUUAAAUAGUUUUGUUCAGGUAUGGGAUGUGACAGAAAAAGAGAGGGAGGGAAGAAAUAACACACUGCUAGUAACUGUGACCUACAACUGGAGCUGGUGCCAGAAACUGAAACCAUGAUUUCUUUAAGAUAUGAAAUGCUUUGCAUAGCCUAAUGCCACAGCAGUGACCCUACUGGGUCUUUUCUGAAGGAGUUAGAAAAAAAGAAACAGGCGGGUAGAGUUGUAAAAAAAAGGAACAAAACCGGUGCUUUGAGCAUAAAAUUACUAAAUAAUAGAAAUGGUAUUUUCUGACUUAGAUGUUUAAGAAAGGCUCAUGAAAGAGAUGAAUAUUAAGCCAAACAUUUGUUUGGCUUUGCUGCAGCCGGCUGCAGGAAUGUAAACUUUUUUUUCAGUGACUUCAGCUCCUAAUUUAAAAGCUAGGAUUUUUAGCAGUAAGCAAGAGACUAUAUUUGGCCAAAAAAUUCUGCUGGCUUUACUUAGUUACCCGGCACAUUCAAAACAAUACUCCUUUAUCAAAAAACAAUAGUCUGUUUUAUUCACAGCACAUGUAGAAGUUGGACCAUCCACCAAAUUCCACUUUCUUCUCUUGCAAUAUGUCUGUUGCUGGCUAAUGAGCUGCGACAGUGCCUGUGCUUCAUUUUCAGCAAAUUAAAUUUAUGCCUCACAGGAAUUGUGGUCUGGUCAUGGCACAGCUCCUAGGUACGGGUGGGGUUUGUUUCUUCAACCAGUUCUCGGUUACCCACAUGGGUACGUGCUGUCGCACCACACAACAACAUCUUCUCUAUAAUAACUGGUUUAAGUAGCCAUUUUCCCCACAAAAGUGGAUCCCAUCUAAUUUACUUUGCGUUUACAGCACUCCCUUUCAAACUGUAUUGUUGGCACGGAUGGAUAUUUAUGCAACUUUUAUUUUAAAAUAUUUAUUUAGAAUUGAGACUUAGACUGAAGGUUGGAUUUAUAGAGCAUGCUUAAAGCAGAUUCUAAAAAUGAUGUAUUUCAAAGGGAGGAAGCAGAUAAUGACCUUACACACCAGAGAGCCUCUCCUCUGCCUCGGCUGCUGCUGUCAGAGCUGGGCAUGCUGUAGUGGAGGGCCACCCCUUGCAGUAGAAUGUGAACCUCUGUUUUUGUGUGAUAGCACUUGAUCAAAAGCCACCUGGAUCACAUGGAGUAAGCUGGAUGUAAAGCCAACAAACCACAUUAAAAUCAUAGGCAUCACAGAAUGGCUUUGGUUGGAAGGGACCUCAAAGCUCAUCCAGUUCCAAUCCCCUGCUGUGAGUAGGGCUCUUCCACCAGCUCAGGCUGCCCAGGGCCCCAUCCAACCUGGCCUAGAACAUCUCCAGGGAUGGGGCACUACAGAUUCUCUGGGCAGCUGUGCCAGGGUCUCACCGCUGUUUUGGGUGACUGCACUCCCUCAGCAGAGAGAAAUCUGGUGGGAUGUUCCAUGGCUAAUCAGUAAGAUCACAGAUCUGAUGUUCACCUCUAAAGGAAAUGAGAGAGAUGAUAAAGAAAGAAAAGCUGGCUCUUCCUCAGCUGUGAGGAACAGAGCUGAUGUAAAAACAGCACUUAGAAAAUCCGUUCUUAAAAUCGGGGAUAAAAAAAAACAUCUUGCACUUUCCAGAAGGAAGUUUCAAACAAGACAAGCUCCUUCUGAUGGAGAAAAUAUUAUUUGAUGAAUCAAUUAGUAAGAACUCUUAAAAAUAGGUGAGCUGAGAAUUUGUUCUCAGUGUGCUGGUUCUCUAUAAUUAGCAGGAGAAUGAGUGGCAAUAUGUACAUGACACAGAGAAUACUCUGUGUUCACAAGAAAAACAGUAUGUUUGAAAAAGGCAAAAUUUUACCUAAAAAAAUAUUUGAUUCAGCUUUCUCAUAAAGCUGUAACUUCUUAUGUCUUCCUCCUCUGUUCCCACAAAAGUCCCAGGGAGCCUUUGAUGUAUGCUCAGCAGUACUCCUUGCAAUGUGUAGACAGUGCAAAAGAGUAAUGCAGGAAAAGCCCAUGUUAAGGAUCUGACUUUCAAGCUUCAUGCAAAUUUCAGUAACAUCCUUAACAUUACAACUUUAAUCUUUAUGACAUCUCCAUGAAAUAAUUUUUAUUUAUUUUUUUUCUUUUGCCAGAUAUGAAAACAGGGACACAAGGAGGUGAAAUGACAUAACUGCUCCACACUCGGAGUUCAGCAAGGAAAGUGACAGUAGGCAUCAGCCCUCCCAGCUCAUGUUACCAUGCUGAAACUUACAAAACUCUACUUCUUCAAAAGCUUGCCCUUUUGAUGAUACUGCAAAUAAUAACACAAUUGUACAGUGAUGAAUGGCAGUCCCGUGCCCUUACUGACAAGUUAGUGAAUGGACAGUACUGAAAAUAAUUUGUAAGAUGAUGAUGUUUAUGGUGAUGAUAACAUAAUAAAUCGAUAGCUGAAUUCUAUGCAAGAUGUUUCAUUAAUUCUUUUGUAGAUGUCUGCCAAGGGGAUAAGUAGUAUUGCAUUAAACACAUGGUUGGAUGCCUUUCAGAAGUUAUUUACAAGAUGCUCCUCCAAAUUAAGUAAUUUUUUUUACUUUUCUUCUUUGCUUGUCUGUAAGUAAAGGUGAGCUUGUGCUCACGUAAUUUGGAAGUCACAAAGUUUUGUUAAUUUCUGUUUCUGCAGGACUUUGAGAAUACAAAGCCUCUUCAGAAGGGCACAAUCUUCUUGCUAUUUAUCUCACCAUCAGUUAUGACUGGCCCUCCUCUCACACUGACACCAAUGAUGGUGAAAUUUCUGCAGAGCAGCAAAAAGUGCCAUUUAAGUGGCAGCGUUUGUUUUCAAGCUUAUUUUUGUCUGAUUACCAAACACUGCUUCAUUUCUAUUCCUUUCCUUGUGCUGCCCAGAGACUGUUUCUCCAUGCCAGUGAUUUGGAAGCGCCUGUAGAGC
ensembl:lncRNA